GUGUGGCUGAUAGAUAGUGUUCAGGAGUGGCUGAGAGAUAGUGUUCAGGUGUUCCAGAUAGAUAGUGUUCAGGAGUGGCUGAUAGAUAGUGUUCAGGAGUGGCUGAUAGAUAGUGUUCAGGAGUGGCUGAUAGAUAGUGUUCAGGUGUUCCAGAUAGAUAGUGUUCAGGAGUGG